rnacentral:rRNA from 1 species
UACGUAGGGUGCAAGCGUUGUCCGGAAUUAUUGGGCGUAAAGAGCUCGUAGGCGGUCUGUCGCGUCGGCUGUGAAAACCCGGAGCUCAACUCCGGGCCUGCAGUCGAUACGGGCAAACUGGAGUACUGCAGGGGAGACUGGAAUUCCUGGUGUAGCGGUGAAAUGCGCAGAUAUCAGGAGGAACACCGGUGGCGAAGGCGGGUCACUGGUCCGGUACUGACGCUGAGGUGCGAAAGCGUGGGGAGCAAACAGG